GGCACUUUGGCGGAGUGGUUAACGCGCUGCCCUGCUAUCCUACGUCUGUAGCAAGCAGUCCUAGGCAGUUCCCUCGGGAGCAAGAGUUCGAAUCUCUUAGGUGUCG
rfam:Rachicladosporium sp. CCFEE 5018 unplaced genomic scaffold Supercontig_25, whole genome shotgun sequence.